GACGAACGCUGGCGGCGUGCUUAACACAUGCAAGUCGAACGGAAAGGCCCUGCUUUUGUGGGGUGCUCGAGUGGCGAACGGGUGAGUAACACGUGAGUAACCUGCCCUUGACUUUGGGAUAACUUCAGGAAACUGGGGCUAAUACCGGAUAGGAGCUCCUGCUGCAUGGUGGGGGUUGGAAAGUUUCGGCGGUUGGGGAUGGACUCGCGGCUUAUCAGCUUGUUGGUGGGGUAGUGGCUUACCAAGGCUUUGACGGGUAGCCGGCCUGAGAGGGUAACCGGCCACAUUGGGACUGAGAUACGGCCCAGACUCCUACGGGAGGCAGCAGUGGGGAAUAUUGCACAAUGGGCGGAAGCCUGAUGCAGUAACGCCGCGUGCGGGAUGACGGCCUUCGGGUUGUAAACCGCUUUCGCCUGUGACGAAGCGUGAGUGACGGUAAUGGGUAAAGAAGCACCGGCUAACUACGUG
rnacentral:rRNA from 1 species